AGGACGGACGCUGGCGGCGUGCUUAACACAUGCAAGUCGAGCGGUAAGGCCUUUCGGGGUACACGAGCGGCGAACGGGUGAGUAACACGUGGGUGAUCUGCCCUGCACUUCGGGAUAAGCCUGGGAAACUGGGUCUAAUACCGGAUAUGACCUCAGGUUGCAUGACUUGGGGUGGAAAGAUUUAUCGGUGCAGGAUGGGCCCGCGGCCUAUCAGCUUGUUGGUGGGGUAAUGGCCUACCAAGGCGACGACGGGUAGCCGACCUGAGAGGGUGACCGGCCACACUGGGACUGAGACACGGCCCAGACUCCUACGGGAGGCAGCAGUGGGGAAUAUUGCACAAUGGGCGAAAGCCUGAUGCAGCGACGCCGCGUGAGGGAUGACGGCCUUGGGUUAGUAAACCGUCUUUCAGCAGGACGAAGCGCAAGUGACGGUACCUGCAGAAGAAGCACCGGCUAACGUACGUGACCAGCCAGCCGA
rnacentral:rRNA from 1 species